AGGGAGGUGGCUGAGUGGUUUAAAGUGUCAGGUUCCUAACCUGUUAUACAAGUAUAUUGUAUCGAGGGUUCAAAUCCCUUCCUCUCUU
rnacentral:tRNA from 1 species